CCUACGGGAGGCAGCAGUGAGGAAUAUUGGUCAAUGGGCGCGAGACUGAACCAGCCAAGUAGCGUGAAGGAUGACUGCCCUACGGGUUGUAAACUUCUUUUAUCAAGGAAUAAAGUGAGGCACGUGUGCCUGUUUGAAUGUACUUUAUGAAUAAGGAUCGGCUAACUCCGUGCCAGCAGCCGCGGUAAUACGGAGGAUCCGAGCGUUAUCCGGAUUUAUUGGGUUUAAAGGGAGCGUAGAUGGGUUGUUAAGUCAGUGGUGAAAGUCUGCGGCUCAACCGUAAAAUUGCAAUUGAUACUGGCAGUCUUGAGUACAGUUGAGGUAGGCGGAAUGCGUGGUGUAGCGGUGAAAUGCAUAGAUAUCACGAAGAACUCCGAUUGCGAAGGCAGCUUACUAAACUGCCACUGACAUUGAGGCACGAAAGUGUGGGUAUCAAACAGGAUUAGAUACCCCAGUAGUC
rnacentral:rRNA from 1 species